rnacentral:rRNA from 1 species
AUACAUGCAAGUCGAGCGAACAGAUAGGAGCUUGCUCCUUUGACGUUGCGGCGGACGGGUGAGUAACACGUGGGUAACCUACCUAUAAGACUGGAAUAACUCCGGGAAACCGGGGCUAAUGCCGGAUAACAUUUACAACCGCAUGGUUCUAAAGUGAAAGAUGGUUUUGCUAUCACUUAUAGAUGGACCCGCGCCGUAUUAGCUAGUUGGUAAGGUAACGGCUUACCAAGGCAACGAUACGUAGCCGACCUGAGAGGGUGAUCGGCCACACUGGAACUGAGACACGGUCCAGACUCCUACGGGAGGCAGCAGUAGGGAAUCUUCCGCAAUGGGCGAAAGCCUGACGGAGCAACGCCGCGUGAGUGAUGAAGGUCUUCGGAUCGUAAAACUCUGUUAUUAGGGAAGAACAAAUGUGUAAGUAACUGUGCACGUCUUGACGGUACCUAAUCAGAAAGCCACGGCUAACUACGUGCCAGCAGCCGCGGUAAUACGUAGGUGGCAAGCGUUAUCCGGAAUUAUUGGGCGUAAAGCGCGCGUAGGCGGUUUCUUAAGUCUGAUGUGAAAGCCCACGGCUCAACCGUGGAGGGUCAUUGGAAACUGGGAAACUUGAGUGCAGAAGAGGAAAGUGGAAUUCCAUGUGUAGCGGUGAAAUGCGCAGAGAUAUGGAAGAACACCAGUGGCGAAGGCGACUUUCUGGUCUGUAACUGACGCUGAUGUGCGAAAGCGUGGGGAUCAAACAGGAUUAGAUACCCUGGUAGUCCACGCCGUAAACGAUGAGUGCUAGUGUUGUAGGGGGGUUUCCGCCCCUUAAUGCUGCAGCUAACGCAUUAAGCACUCCGCCCGGGGGAGUACGACCGCAAGGUUGAAACUCAAAGGAAUUGACGGGGACCCGCACAAGCGGUGGAGCAUGUGGGUUUAAUUCGAAGCAACGCGAAAAAACCUUACCAAAUCUUGACAUCCUUUGACACCUCUAGAGAUAUAGCUUCCCCUUCGGGGGACAAAAUGACAGGUGGGGCAGGGUUGUCCUCCCCCCCGGCCGGGAAAAGUUGGGGUUAAUUCCCGCCACCACCCGCACCCCCCAACCUUAUUUUUCCGC